AUUGAACGCUGGCGGCAUGCUUUACACAUGCAAGUCGAACGGUAACAGGGUGCUUGCACCGCUGACGAGUGGCGAACGGGUGAGUAAUGCGUCGGAACGUGCCGAGUAGUGGGGGAUAACGCAGCGAAAGUUGUGCUAAUACCGCAUACGUACUGAGGUAGAAAGUGGGGGACCUUCGGGCCUCACGCCAUUCGAGCGGCCGACGUCUGAUUAGCUAGUAGGUGAGGUAAAGGCUCACCUAGGAGACGAUCAGUAGCGGGUCUGAGAGGAUGAUCCGCCACACUGGGACUGAGACACGGCCCAGACUCCUACGGGAGGCAGCAGUGGGGAAUUUUGGACAAUGGGCGAAAGCCUGAUCCAGCCAUGCCGCGUGUCUGAAGAAGGCCUUCGGGUUGUAAAGGACUUUUGCCAGGGAGGAAAUCCCUAGUGCUAAUAACACUGGGGGAUGACAGUACCUGAAGAAUAAGCACCGGCUAACUACGUGCCAGCAGCCGCAGUAA
rnacentral:rRNA from 1 species